GGCCCCUGGAAUGCUUUCAAGCCUGCCAGUAUCCAAAUUAAUCCUUGACUCCUGCUUCUCCAGGAGCUCAGUUCCAAUUUCCACAAGCCUUUGCAAAUUCUCCUCGGUUGCUAUAUGACCUGAUGAUUCUUCACCCGUCAGCGUAUCAUCCUGAAUGCGCAGGUAAUAAUCCUCACAAUCCAAGGACUUAAAAAGGGCAGAGAGAUGGAAGUCAACCAUAUCUGAGCUAGCAUUACUAAAUAUGUCAACCGCUGGUGAAUUGCCGUUGUAAAGGGCCCAAUUAUACAAACGCCAUUUAGAUGUCAUGUCUGCAUUGUAUUUUUCUUUGUACUCGGAUUUGCCAGUUCCCAGUGAUAGCACUAGCCUGCUCUUGCUCUCCGUCAAGUUUGCACCAAUGAACCGAGGAUUUUGCCUUAUGAUCUCGUUGCGGAUGUGGGUUAGUGCUAGUAGUGUAGGAUUGGUCGCAGCAACCCCACCAUCAAUGAGUUCAAAAGUGUGAAUAUUUUUAUCAUCCUCGGUGGUAAAGGAAUGUGCUGGUAAGAGAACUGGAGCUGCAGAGGUGCUGAUGCAGACAUCAGCUAGCCUAGCAUUUUUCAGAGCAUUACAUUUCGCAUCAUCAGAUGAGAAGAUGACUGGGAGAAGAAGCUUGAUGUCAAAUGCAGGUAUAAUCACAUCUGUCAAGGUAUCUUUUACGGUCAAGUCCUUAAGCAAAUUGUUACACAAUUCUCG
rnacentral:misc_RNA from 1 species